rnacentral:rRNA from 1 species
AUUGAACGCUGGCGGCAUGCUUUACACAUGCAAGUCGAACGGUAACAGGCCUUCGGUGCUGACGAGUGGCGAACGGGUGAGUAAUGCAUCGGAACGUGCCCAAUCGUGGGGGAUAACGUAGCGAAAGUUACGCUAAUACCGCAUAAGCCCUGAGGGGGAAAGCAGGGGAUCGCAAAGACCUUGCGCGAAAUGGAGCGGCCGAUGUCAGAUUAGCUAGUUGGUGGGGUAAAGGCCUACCAAGGCGACGAUCUGUAGCGGGUCUGAGAGGAUGAUCCGCCACACUGGGACUGAGACACGGCCCAGACUCCUACGGGAGGCAGCAGUGGGGAAUUUUGGACAAUGGGCGCAAGCCUGAUCCAGCCAUGCCGCGUGCGGGACGAAGGCCUGGUUGUAAACCGCUUUCAGCCGGAAAGAAAUCGCCAAGGCUAAUAUCCUUGUGGAUGACGGUACCGGAAGAAGAAGCACCGGCUAACUACGUGCCAGCAGCCGCGGUAAAGUAGUCG